AACGAACGCUGGCGGCGCGCCUAAUACAUGCAAGUCGAGCGAGAAGACGUAGCAAUACGUUUGUAAAGCGGCGAACGGGUGAGGAAUACAUGGGUAACCUACCCUCGAGUGGGGAAUAACUAGCCGAAAGGUUAGCUAAUACCGCGUACGCUCCUUGGACUUCGGUUCAGGGAGGAAAGCGAUACCGUGGGUAUCGCGCUCUUGGAUGGGCUCAUGUCCUAUCAGCUUGUUGGUGAGGAACGGCUCACCAAGGCUUCGACGGGUAGCUGGUCUGAGAGGACGAUCAGCCACACUGGCACUGCGACACGGGCCAGACUCCUACGGGAGCAGCAGUAAGGAAUAUUGCGCAAUGGGCGAAAGCCUGACGCAGCGACGCCGCGUGGGGGAUGAAGGUCUUCGGAUUGUAAACCCCUUUCGGGAGGGAAGAUGGAACGAGCAAUCGUUCGGACGGUACCUCCAGAA
rnacentral:rRNA from 1 species